rnacentral:ncRNA from 1 species
CGAUCGGAUAGUGCGGGAAACCGCAUGAAACUCGCCUGCAAUUCCCGGCAUCACCGCGCAAGCGGUGUGGCGACUUCACUUCUGCCUUCUGGCAGUAUCAAA